GCUGCCCAGAGCCAGUGCCUGGCUGAUGGCACCUGGGACCCGCCCGUGCCCACCUGCCAGCCAGUCCUGUGUCCAGAACCACGAGUGCCCUUUGGAAGGCUGAAAAGCCCUUUGGGUGAGCAACGGUGGUACCAGACCAACGAGACUGUCACCUUGGAGUGCCUUCCUGGCUACCAGUUUCCAGAAGAUGGAAUGACAGAAAAUGCCUGGACAGCCACAUGCUUGCCUGAUGGCAGCUGGACACCACUGCCCAAGUGUAUGAAAGAAGGCGAUGCUGAUGUGUGUCAAGAGGUUCAUUACAUUAAAUCGACCUUUGAAUGUGGUGUGCCUGUGGAAAAAGUGAAAAGUCUGCUGGAAAUCCAGAAACUGUUCCUGGAGAUUAAAAAACUAGAGAUGGAACUAGAAGAGUGAAAAGAAACUGGACCCUUGUAGUGCUCACCUUUCCUUUGGUGAACUCACAGUUUGUGCAGUCCCAGCAUCUCUAAGAAGGUUCUGGGUGUUUUAAGGUUUAUGUCUGCAUGCCGAGAGCCAGAAAAAUAAUCAGCAGUGCAUGGGAGGCUGCUUUUGCUGCACUGGAUGCCA
rnacentral:lncRNA from 14 species